rnacentral:tRNA from 1 species
UCCGAUAUGGUCUAGUGGCUAGGAUACCUGGCAUUCACCCAGGAGGCUCGGGUUCGAUUCCCGGUAUCGGAA